UACGUAGGGGUGCAAGCGUUUGUCCGGAAUUAUUGGGCGUAAAGAGCUCGUAGGCGGUCUGUCGCGUCUGCUGUGAAAACUCAGGGCUUAACCCUGAGCUUGCAGUGGGUACGGGCAGACUAGAGUGCGGUAGGGGAGACUGGAAUUCCUGGUGUAGCGGUGAAAUGCGCAGAUAUCAGGAGGAACACCGGGUGGCGAAGGCGGGGUCUCUGGGCCGUAACUGACGCUGGAGGAGCGAAA
rnacentral:rRNA from 1 species